rnacentral:rRNA from 1 species
GAGAACCUUACCAACACUUGACAUGUUCGUCGCGACUCUAAGAGAUUAGAGUUUUCGGUUCGGCCGGACGAAACACAGGUGCUGCAUGGCUGUCGUCAGCUCGUGUCGUGAGAUGUUGGGUUAAGUCCCGCAACGAGCGCAACCCUCACUUUUGGUUGCCAUCAUUAAGUUGGGCACUCUGAAAGAACUGCCAGUGAUAAGCUGGAGGAAGGUGGGGAUGACGUCAAGUCCUCAUGGCCCUUACGUGUUGGGCUACACACGUGCUACAAUGGCAUCUACAACAGGAAGCAAAACGGCAACGUUAAGCAAAUCCCGAAAAGAUGCCUCAGUUCGGAUUGCACUCUGCAACUCGAGUGCAUGAAGCUGGAAUUACUAGUAAUCGUGGAUCAGCGUGCCACGGUGAAUGCGUUCCCGGGUCUUGUACACACCGAAU